GAUCAUGGCUCAGAUUGAACGCUGGCGGCAGGCUUAACACAUGCAAGUCGAACGGUAACAUAAAGAAGCUUGCUUCUUUGAUGACGAGUGGCGGACGGGUGAGUAAUGCUUGGGAAUCUAGCUUAUGGAGGGGGGAUAACUACGGGAAACUGUAGCUAAUACCGCGUAAUAUCGAAAGAUUAAAGUGUGGGACCUUCGGGCCACAUGCCAUAGGAUGAGCCCAAGUGGGGAUUAGGUAGUUGGUGG
rnacentral:rRNA from 1 species